CAGCUUUCACCUAGCACUAUAAAUACUCCAUUUCAACUCACUUCUUCUGAUAAUCUGAUCCUAUUCAUAUCAUCAUCAUAAUAUAUGCUAUGAUCCUAUUCAUAGCUUUCACCUAUGACUAUAUAUGCAUCAUAUAUAUAGCUUUGACAUACCCCUCCGGCAGGCCGGCUAGUAAUCGCCUGGCCUUUUUAUAACUUCUUCCAGCUAGCUAUAAAUUCAUCGGAAGUUCCCUUUUAAAGUUAGUAUUAUAUAUUGUUUAUCACGAGGACUUCAUAUUAUGGAGUAAUGGAGUAUACUCAUAUUAUGGUUAACAUUAUAUUAGUACCACUUAUUUUGAUACAUCUACCACAACUGUGUCGUACUGACUUGUACAGUUAGUCGUGCAACUUGUAUGAUGUGGUACAUCCAUCAAAUAUAAUGUUAGUCGUGCAACUUGUAUGAUGUGGUACAUCCAUCAAAUAUAAUGGUACAAAUAUCACUUCCCAUUAUUUAAUCAUUUCUUUAUCAUUUACUAUUAUAUGUGUACUAUAUAUAAGAUAGAUGCUACUAUGACUAUAUUUUCUUCUUCUUCUGUUUAUCUUCAAUGACAUGUUUCAGCAAAAAGAUCCACAUGUUGGUUCAAUCGAAAUGAACCGAGUCCAAGUCACAUGACAUAACAUUUCGAGUAAACAGCUUGCAUCUCAUUGAACUUGAUUGUUUAGUAAACCAUGUACAAGUUCCAAUGCUAAGAGGAAGCCCAACGAUUGUGUCAAACCGACGCCAUAGGCAGCGCCUUGACGGUUAACUAACAAGGUAGAGAUGAGGGGCGUGGGGCACUGGGCCGUGUAUGGUUUCUCCCCUUUUUGUAUGUGUGUGGGCCUGUGUGGAUUUAUAUAUGUAAUUCAAUAAAAAAAAAUAGUGAUGAUGAGAUAUUGUGGUAGUGUAUGUAAGUUUAAGGUAGAGCUCAUGUGACAAAACUGAUGAGGUGUGACAUGUAUGGUUACCGGGAGCCCUGUUAGCUAAACCUGUUAGAUAAUAUUAUGUUUCAACUUGUCAACAA